rnacentral:rRNA from 1 species
AUCGACANUCCACGAUAAAUUUCACUUUAAUUUAAAAUUUAUAUACCGCCAUCUUAAGAAUUAAAAUAAAAUUAUUUUCUUAAAAAUAAAUAAUAAGUUAGGUCAAGGUAUAAUCUAUAUUAAAGACAUAAUGAAUUACAAUAAAAACUAUUUAAAGAUUGUAAAUAAUAUAUUUAUAUAAUUAAGAAUUUAAAAGUAAUAUUAAAAUAAUAAUAUAAUAUGAUAAAGAUAAUAAAUGUAUACACAUCGCCC